rnacentral:rRNA from 1 species
GACGAACGCUGGCGGCGUGCUUAACACAUGCAAGUCGAACGGAAAGGCUCCAGCUUGCUGGCGUACUCGAGUGGCGAACGGGUGAGUAACACGUGGGUAAUCUGCCCUGCACUCUGGGAUAAGCCUGGGAAACUGGGUCUAAUACUGGAUAUGACCUUUCUCCUUAUGGGGUUUGGUGGAAAGUUUUUCGGUGUAGGAUGAGCCCGCGGCCUAUCAGCUUGUUGGUAGGGUGAUGGCCUACCAAGGCGACGACGGGUAGCCGGCCUGAGAGGAUGAUCGGCCACAUUGGGACUGAGAUACGGCCCAGACUCCUACGGGAGGCAGCAGUGGGGAAUAUUGCACAAUGGGCGGAAGCCUGAUGCAGCGACGCCGCGUGAGGGAUGACGGCCUUCGGGUUGUAAACCUCUUUCAGCAGGGACGAAGCGUAAGUGACGGUACCUGCAGAAGAAGCACCGGCUAACUAUGUG